AGCGAACGCUGGCGGCGUGCCUAAUACAUGCAAGUCGAACGAAUUGGCGCACGGGGGAGUAAUAUAUAGUUAAUCUCCCCUACACAGAGGAACAACAGUUGGAAACGGCUGCUAAUACCUCAUAGUGUAGGAUGAGUGUAUAUCGUAUCAGCUAGUGGGUACGGGAAUGGAUUAUCAAGGCUAUGACGCGUAACAGGUCUGAUAGGAUGAUAAGUAACAUUGGAACUGAGACACAGACCGAGAUCCUACGGAAAGCAGCAGUAAGGAAUAGUGCGCAAUGAGGGAAACUGUAACGGAGCAACGCAGCGUAGAGGAUGACACUUGUCGGAGCGUAAACUCCUUUUGUCAGGAAAGCGGUACCUGAAGAAUAAGCACCGGCUAACUACGUGCCAGCAGCCGCGGUAAUAC
rnacentral:rRNA from 1 species